GAUGAAGAACGUAGCGAAAUGCGAUACGUAAUGUGAAUUGCAGAAUUCAGUGAAUCAUCGAGUCUUUGAACGCACAUUGCGCCCCCUGGUAUUCCGGGGGGCAUGCCUGUCCGAGCGUCAUUGCUGCCCUCAAGCACGGCUUGUGUGUUGGGCCUCCGCCCCCCGGCUCCCGGGGGGCGGGCCCGAAAGGCAGCGGCGGCACCGCGUCCGGUCCUCGAGCGUAUGGGGCUUCGUCACCCGCUCCGUAGGCCCGGCCGGCGCCCGCCGGCGACACCCCUCAAUCUUUCCAGGUUGACCUCGGAUCAGGUAGGGAUACCCGCUGAACUUAAGCAUAUCAAUAAGCGGAGGA
rnacentral:misc_RNA from 1 species